CCUACGGGAGGCAGCAGUGAGGAAUAUUGGUCAAUGGGCGGGAGCCUGAACCAGCCAAGUCGCGUGAGGGAAGACGGUCCUAUGGAUUGUAAACCUCUUUAGGCGGGGAGCAAUGCCGGGCACGCGUGCCCGGAGGGAGAGUACCCGCAGAAUACGCAUCGGCUAACUCCGUGCCAGCAGCCGCGGUAAUACGGAGUAUGCGAGCGUUAUCCGGAUUGAUUGGGUUUAAAGGGUGCGUAGGCGGAUUUUUAAGUCAGCGGUAAAAUGUCCGGGCUCAACCCGGGCCGGCCGUUGAAACUGGGGAUCUUGAGUGGGCGAGAGGUAUGCGGAAUGCGUGGUGUAGCGGUGAAAUGCAUAGAUAUCACGCAGAACUCCGAUUGCGAAGGCAGCAUACCGGCGCCCGACUGACGCUGAGGCACGAAAGCGUGGGGAUCGAACAGGAUUAGAUACCCCAGUAGUC
rnacentral:rRNA from 1 species